UACGGGAGGCAGCAGUGGGGAAUCUUGCGCAAUGGGCGAAAGCCUGACGCAGCCAUGCCGCGUGAAUGAUGAAGGUCUUAGGAUUGUAAAAUUCUUUCACCGGGGACGAUAAUGACGGUACCCGGAGAAGAAGCCCCGGCUAACUUCGUGCCAGCAGCCGCGGUAAUACGAAGGGGCUAGCGUUGCUCGGAAUUACUGGGCGUAAAGGGAGCGUAGGCGGACAUUUAAGUCAGGGGUGAAAUCCCGGGGCUCAACCUCGGAAUUGCCCUUUUGAUACUGGGUGUCUUGAGUAUGAGAGAGGUGUGUGGAACUCCGGAGUGUAGAGGUGAAAUUCGUAGAUAUUCGGAAGAACACCAGUGGCGAAGGCGACACACUGGCUCAUUACUGACGCUGAGGCUCGAAAGCGUGGGGAGCAAACGAGGAUUAGAUACCCGU
rnacentral:rRNA from 1 species